rnacentral:rRNA from 1 species
AUUGAACGCUGGCGGCAGGCCUAACACAUGCAAGUCGAGCGGUAGAGAGAAGCUUGCUUCUCUUGAGAGCGGCGGACGGGUGAGUAAUGCCUAGGAAUCUGCCUGGUAGUGGGGGAUAACGUUCGGAAACGGACGCUAAUACCGCAUACGUCCUACGGGAGAAAGCAGGGGACCUUCGGGCCUUGCGCUAUCAGAUGAGCCUAGGUCGGAUUAGCUAGUUGGUGAGGUAAUGGCUCACCAAGGCGACGAUCCGUAACUGGUCUGAGAGGAUGAUCAGUCACACUGGAACUGAGACACGGUCCAGACUCCUACGGGAGGCAGCAGUGGGGAAUAUUGGACAAUGGGCGAAAGCCUGAUCCAGCCAUGCCGCGUGUGUGAAGAAGGUCUUCGGAUUGUAAAGCACUUUAAGUUGGGAGGAAGGGCAGUAAAUUAAUACUUUGCUGUUUUGACGUUACCGACAGAAUAAGCACCGGCUAACUCUGUGCCAGCAGCCGCGGUAAUACAGAGGGUGCAAGCGUUAAUCGGAAUUACUGGGCGUAAAGCGCGCGUAGGUGGUUUGUUAAGUUGGAUGUGAAAUCCCCGGGCUCAACCUGGGAACUGCAUUCAAAACUGACUGACUAGAGUAUGGUAGAGGGUGGUGGAAUUUCCUGUGUAGCGGUGAAAUGCGUAGAUAUAGGAAGGAACACCAGUGGCGAAGGCGACCACCUGGACUAAUACUGACACUGAGGUGCGAAAGCGUGGGGAGCAAACAGGGUUAGAUACCCUGGUAGUCCACGCCGUAAACGAUGUCAACUAGCCGUUGGAAGCCUUGAGCUUUUAGUGGCGCAGCUAACGCAUUAAGUUGACCGCCUGGGGAGUACGGCCGCAAGGUUAAAACUCAAAUGAAUUGACGGGGGCCCGCACAAGCGGUGGAGCAUGUGGUUUAAUUCGAAGCAACGCGAAGAACCUUACCAGGCCUUGACAUCCAAUGAACUUUCUAGAGAUAGAUUGGUGCCUUCGGGAACAUUGAGACAGGUGCUGCAUGGCUGUCGUCAGCUCGUGUCGUGAGAUGUUGGGUUAAGUCCCGUAACGAGCGCAACCCUUGUCCUUAGUUACCAGCACGUAAUGGUGGGCACUCUAAGGAGACUGCCGGUGACAAACCGGAGGAAGGUGGGGAUGACGUCAAGUCAUCAUGGCCCUUACGGCCUGGGCUACACACGUGCUACAAUGGUCGGUACAGAGGGUUGCCAAGCCGCGAGGUGGAGCUAAUCCCAUAAAACCGAUCGUAGUCCGGAUCGCAGUCUGCAACUCGACUGCGUGAAGUCGGAAUCGCUAGUAAUCGCGAAUCAGAAUGUCGCGGUGAAUACGUUCCCGGGCCU